rnacentral:rRNA from 1 species
AAUGAACGCUGGCGGUAUGCCUAACACAUGCAAGUCGAACGGCAGCACCGUACGUGCUUGCUCUUACGGGUGUCGCGUGGCGGACGGUUGAUUUAUGCAUCGGAAUCUACUUUUUCGUGUGGGAUAACGUCGGGUAACUUCCCCUAAUACCGCAUACGACCUACGGGUGAAAGCCGGGGAACUUCUGACCUUGCGCGGUUGAAUGAGCCGAUGUCGGCUUCGCUAGUUGGCGGGGUAAAGACCUACCACGGCGACGCUCCGUAGCUGGCCUGAGAGGGUGAUCAGCCACACUGGAUCUGAGACACGGCCCAGACUCCUACGGGAGGACGCAGUGGGGAAUAUUGGACAAUGGGCGCAAGCCUGAUACAGCCAUACCGCGUGAGUGAAGAAGGCGUUCGGGUUGGAAAGUCCUUUUGGUGGGAAAGAAAAGAAGCAGGUUAAUACGCCGCUGUUAUGACGGUACCCGAAGAAUAAGCACCGGCUAACUUCGUG